AGCAACCUUCAUUUUACCUCCUGCGGAUUCAAGAAAGGAGGAAGUCAAUAAAAAAAAAGAGAUGUUAAUUAAUCAAAGGUCCAACCGAUCGCCGCGUCUGUAUUGUAAAUAUGCAGUUACGAAUAAUCAAAAAAGUAAUAGGAAUUAGACCUAACACGAUUCCAAAUAAAAUAUAAAAACUUCAAUCAUUUAAAUUAGUUUGAAAGGAGAAAAAAGAAAACUACGACUAGUCAGGAAUUGCGAAGAAACAUCGUAAGUAACAAUAGUGAAAAUUCCGGGUGACUGGAUCGCCCCGGCAGUGGGGUUGCUCUAACUCAGAUGACCCCGAGAAGCGCAGCACUCCGGUAACCGAUCCUUCUGUAGGUGAAAGGGUAGAACGCCCCCAGGCCUCUCUUGGCAAUAGUUUCCCUUUCUUAUCUUCUACCUUGAUGGGUGGGAGAGGCCACCGAAUUAGGAUAUCACUACUAGCACGGACUGCGCAGGAAAUUUAUAUCCUAUAGAUGUCUCGGCGCUUUCAUUAUCCUUUUCUUUUUUUUUUCUUUCCCUUCUUGAUCUCCAAGUCUGUAAAAAAUUGAAUAGGAACUAUGUAUGUGAAGCACAUGUUGCAGCCAAAUGGGCUUGUAGGAACAAACAUGAUUUCUGGAUGCUGGGAGAUGGACAGACCAGACUGCAUAAAACUACUGGAAUGGAAAGAAAGAGAGGGGAAGAAGCAAUUCGUUAAAAAAGGGAUGAGCUACCCGGAUGAACGAAGAGCUAAAAGGAAGACACAAAGUCCAGUGGCAGAGCGGCGAUCAGCCUUUAACUAAAAAAGCUUGUCCAAUAAGUGGUUCUGCCGUGAGUGACUUCGUGAACAGCCGCUUCAUAUCAUAAAGAGUGUAAAUUUCCUUUGCCGUCAAACUUAAAAAACGAACCCCGGGUUACUCAUUCCCACUUCUCCAUGUUGCCUGAGCUUCAAUUACAUCGAACCUUCCUCAC
rnacentral:lncRNA from 1 species